rnacentral:rRNA from 1 species
AGAGUUUGAUCCUGGCUCAGAAUGAACGCUGGCGGCGCGCUUAACACAUGCAAGUCGAGCGAGGCUGCGGGGCAACCCGCAAGUCGAGCGGCGAACGGGCGAGUAACGCGUGGGCAACCUACCCUGGAGUGGGGGAUAGCCUCUCGAAAGAGGGGGUAAUACCGCGUACGUUCACUGGGGCAUAAGCUCUGGUGAAGAUAGGUGGGGAUCCUUCGGGACCUGCCGCUCCUGGGUGGGCCCGCGUCCGAUUAGCUAGUUGGUGAGGUAAAAGCUCACCAAGGCGACGAUCGGUAGCCGGCCUGAGAGGGUGAUCGGCCACAUUGGGACUGAGACACGGCCCAGACUCCUACGGGAGGCAGCAGUGGGGAAUCUUGGGCAAUGGGCGGAAGCCUGACCCAGCGACGCCGCGUGGGGGAUGAAGGCCUUUGGGUUGUAAACCUCUGUCAGGGGGGGCGAAGACCUUGCGGUUAACAACCGUAAGGGUUGACGGUACCCCCAAAGGAAGCCCCGGCUAACUCCGUGCCAGCAGCCGCGGUAAUACGGAGGGGGCAAGCGUUAUUCGGAAUUACUGGGCGUAAAGCGCGCGCAGGUGGCGCGGUAAGUGGCAGGUGAAAGCCCUCGGCUCAACCGAAGGACCGCCUGCCAUACUGCCGCGCUUGAAGCUGGGAAGGGAGAACGGAAUUCCUGGGGUAGCGGUGAAAUGCGUAGAUACCAGGAAGAACACCGGUGGGGAAAGCGGCUUCCUGGACCAGUUCUGACACUCAUGCGCCCCUGAAAGGAUAGGGCAAGAAGUGUUCCGAGGGGUGAACACAUAGGUAGCCGUAGUAUAAGGGGUUAAGUGCGCAGCCUGGGGGAGUACGGGUUGGCGGGCAUGGAAAUCAAGAGAAUUGUAUGGGGGACCCGCACAAGCGGUGAAGCAUGUGGUUUAAUUUGAGGCAAGGGAAAAAACUUUACCUGGGUUUGAAAUGCUGGAACCAGCCUCAGAAAUGAGGGUCUUUCCUUAGGGGACCCCAGCAGAGAUCCAGCAAGGCUGUUGUCAGCUCGAACCGUGAGGGGUUGGGUAAAAGUGUCCGCAACGAGCGCAACCCCUGUUCCUAGUUGCCAGCGGUUCGACCGGGGACUCUAGGAAGACUGCCGGUGACAAUCCGGAGGAAGGUGGGGAUGACGUCAAGUCAUCAUGGCCUUUAAGUCCAGGACUACACACGUGCUACAAUGGCCGGUACAAAGGGUCGCAAACUCGCAAGGGGGAGCUAAUCCCAAAAAGCCUGCCUCAGUUCGGAUUGCAGUCUGCAACUCGACUGCAUGAAGGUGGAAUCGCUAGUAAUCGCGCAUCAGCACGGCGCGGUGAAUACGUUCCCGGGCCUUGUACACACCGCCCGUCACAUCACGAAAGUCGGCUGUACCAGAAGCCGGUGGGCCAACCGUAAGGAGGCAGCCGUCCAAGGUAUGGUCGGUGAUUGGGGUGAAGUCGUAACAAGGUAGCCG